ACCACGUAGGAAAUCGGGGCUAAUACCGGAUGGGUCAUCGGACCGCAUGGUCCGAGGAUGAAAGGCGCUUCGGCGUCGCCUGGGGAUGGCUUUGCGGUGCAUUAGCUAGUUGGUGGGGUAAUGGCCCACCAAGGCGACGAUGCAUAGCCGACCUGAUAGGGUGAUCGGCCACACUGGGACUGAGACACGGCCCACACUCCUACGGGAGGCAGCAGUAGGGAAUCUUCCACAAUGGACGAAAGUCUGAUGGAGCAACGCCGCGUGAACGAUGAAGGCCUUCGGGUCGUAAAGUUCUGUUGUAAGGGAAGAACAAGUGCCGCAGGCAAUGGCGGCACCUUGACGGUACCUUGCGAGAAAGCCACGGCUAACUACGUGCCAGCAGCCGCGGUAAUACGA
rnacentral:rRNA from 1 species